rnacentral:rRNA from 1 species
UACAGAGACUGCAAGCGUUAUUCGGAUUCACUGGGCGUAAAGGGUGCGCAGGCGGUUGUGUGUGUCAGGUGUGAAAGCCCGGGGCUUAACCCCGGAAUUGCGCCUGAAACUACAUGACUAGAGCAUUGGAGAGGGUAGCGGAAUUCACGGUGUAGCAGUGAAAUGCGUAGAUAUCGUGAGGAACACCGGUGGCGAAGGCGGGUCUCUGGGCCAAAACUGACGCUGAGGAGCGAAAGCGUGGGGAGCGAACAGG